rnacentral:lncRNA from 1 species
UGCUAUUUGAUUGAUUAGAUUAGAAAUUUAAUGUUACAGUUCAUACAUUAGUAAUAUUUCAAUAUAACACAUACCAAGGACUCUGCUAUCAAUAACACGAGUGGAUAAAGAGCAGCGCAAAUUAGCACCCGGAGCAGGAAGGAUGACCUUGGUCGGUAGGAAAUACUUCAUCCACAACAGAGGAAUCCUAGAGCAAAGUUCAUCUUAUUAGAAACUCUUGUGGAACUUGUGGCUGGAGGGCACAUGGAUUCCUAACACGCAACAAGUACAAGGAAAGGCAGAGGGACACAUCUGAAGCAUAGGAUUAUUCAAGUGUUCAAAAUAAGCAAUGGAGAAACACAUAUUAGACUAAUGCCCAGGGAUACCACACCUGGAGUAAAGGGGUUCAGGUGGAGAGACAGUACAUGUCAUGAGUCGAAGAGAUCAGCCCACUACCAUUCAUGACUCAAUCAGCCUGAAUGCUCGGGGUAAGAAAAAGUAACUGGAACGCCUACAGAUGUCACAUCCAUCAAAAUCCACACCUAUACAGCAUUCUUCAUGUUGUGUGAUGAAAAGGGUUUGAAGCUUCACCCAGAAUAAAUUGGAGAGAAUAGAAGCA